rnacentral:lncRNA from 1 species
CUACGCGGGAGACUGAAGCAGGAGAAUUCCUUGAACCUGGGAGGUGGAGGUUGCAGUGAGCCAAGAUCGCGCCAAAGCACUCCAGCCUGGGCAACAGAGUGAGACUCCAUCUCAAAAAAAACAAAACAACAACAAAUAAAUAAACUGUCACCAUAAUCUAGUGAAGCAGAUACUAUUACUACUUCUGAUUUUGGACAUAAGAAACUGAGGUACAGGCUCUUUCGCCCAGGCCGGAGUGCAGUGGCACGAUCUCGGCUCACUGCAAGCUCUGCCUCCCGGGUUCACGCCAUUCUCCUGCCUCAGCCUCCCGAGCAGCUGGGACUACAGGCACCCGCCACCGCACCUGGCUAAUUUUUUGUAUUUUUUUGUUUUUUAGUAGAGACGGGGUUUCACCAUGUUAGCCAGGAUGGUCUCGAGCUCCUGACCUCGUGAUCCACCCGCCUUGGCCUCCCAA